AUUCAUUUCUAUAUCAAUUGGGUUUGUAAUAAUUUUAGAUAGAUUAGUUCUUUUUUUAAAUUCCUUGCAAGACCAUAGCAUGUAUUUAGGACUCAAUGUAAAGGACUAUGGACACUAUAAGGGAUGUACACCGACACAAGCACCGACACGCACACACGUUGCAUGAUUACCGUUUAGAUGUAUGCUUAGGAAACGCGAU
rnacentral:lncRNA from 1 species